rnacentral:rRNA from 1 species
AGCUAAUGCCGCAUACGACCUAAGGGUGAAAGCAGGGGAUCUUCGGACCUUGCGUUAUUAGAGCGGCCGAUAUCUGAUUAGCUUGUUGGUGGGGUAAUGGCCUACCAAGGCGACGAUCAGUAGCUGGUCUGAGAGGACGAUCAGCCACACUGGAACUGAGACACGGUCCAGACUCCUACGGGAGGCAGCAGUGGGGAAUUUUGGACAAUGGGGGCAACCCUGAUCCAGCCAUUCCGCGUGAGUGAAGAAGGCCUUCGGGUUGUAAAGCUCUUUCGCAAGAGAAGAAAACUUGCUAUCUAAUAAAUAGUAAGUAUGAC